rnacentral:rRNA from 1 species
CGGGGUGCAGCAGGCGCGAAAACUCCACAAUGCGCGAAAGCGUGAUGGGGUUAACCCGAGUGCCGUCCGAUGAGGAUGGCUUUUCUUCAGUUUAAGGAUCUGGAGGAAUAAAGGGGGGGCAAGACUGGUGUCAGCCGCCGCGGUAAUACCAGCCCCCUGAGUGGUAGGGACGAUUAUUUGGCCUAAAGCGUCCGUAGCCUGUUUGGGAAGUCUUUCGUUAAAUCCGACGAUUCCAUCGUUGGGACGCGGAAGAUACUGCCAGACUUGAGGACGGGAGAGGUCGACGGUAGUCCUAGGGUAGGGGUGAAAUCCUAUAAUCCUAGGAGGACCACCAGUGGCGAAGGCGGUCGACUAGAACGUGCCUGACGGUGAUGGACGAAAGCUGGGGGAGCGAACCGGAUUAGACACCCGGGUAGUCCCAGCUGUAAACGAUGCGAGCUAGGUGUUGGAGCAACUACGAGUUGCUCCAGUGCCGCAGAGAAGUUGUUAAGCUCGCCGCCUGGGAAGUACGGCCGCAAGGCUGAAACUUAAAGGAAUUGGCGGGGGAGCACAAGGGCGAA